CUGCUCUGCUCAGCGCUCCAUGUCGUGCCCCAAAUUCCGUGACUCAUCUUCCUUCUCUUUGCCAGGCUGCGCGUGCAUACCACGGACGGACGCACUGCCCCCAAUCUACUGUCGUCAAAACGCCGACGGUGGUUAAGAUACACCGCUCUCCUUUGAUAUGACGAAGGGACGACAAGGCAGAGAAGCAACGACGUAGAGAAUUGAGAAGAAGAGGACGAGUCGGUUGCUAUUCGCAUCUGUCCUCCUGAAAGGGAAAUGUGCCCUUGGGCCAUUUCUAAGUGUUUUGGUGAUUUAGUGUCCAACACAAAUGCCUAAGUGUUAAAAGGUGGACAAAGUACAAAUCAAGAAUAAAGGUAUGUUUCUCAGACUUAGUACAUUGAUUUAUGGACUAAUGUAUUGUGUCUAAGUGCUGGAAACAGGAAAAAUCCAAUUGGAAAUGUCUUGGCUCGAGCAGCCAAGAAUCUGCUGAGUCUGGGAGCACCGGACUGUCCGGUGGUGCACCGGACAGUGUCCGGUGGUGCACCGGAUAGUGUCCGGUGCGUCAGGCU